rnacentral:rRNA from 1 species
UGAACGCUGGCGGCAGGCCUACCACAUGCAAGUCGAACGGUAACAGGCAGCAGCUUGCUGCUUUGCUGACGAGUGGCGGACGGGUGAGUAAUGUCUGGGAAACUGCCCGAUGGAGGGGGAUAACUACUGGAAACGGUAGCUAAUACCGCAUAACGUCGCAAGACCAAAGAGGGGGACCUUAGGGCCUCUUGCCAUCGGAUGUGCCCAGAUGGGAUUAGCUAGUAGGUGGGGUAACGGCUCACCUAGGCGACGAUCCCUAGCUGGUCUGAGAGGAUGACCAGCCACACUGGAACUGAGACACGGUCCAGACUCCUACGGGAGGCAGCAGUGGGGAAUAUUGCACAAUGGGCGCAAGCCUGAUGCAGCCAUGCCGCGUGUAUGAAGAAGGCCUUCGGGUUGUAAAGUACUUUCAGCGGGGAGGAAGGGAGUAAAGUUAAUACCUUUGCUCAUUGACGUUACCCGCAGAAGAAGCACCGGCUAACUCCGUG